UACGUAGGGUGCGAGCGUUGUCCGGAAUUAUUGGGCGUAAAGGGCUCGUAGGCGGUCUGUUGCGUCGGGUGUGAAAACUCAGGGCUUAACCCUGAGCCUGCUUCCGAUACGGGCAGACUAGAGGUAUGCAGGGGAGAACGGAAUUCCUGGUGUAGCGGUGAAAUGCGCAGAUAUCAGGAGGAACACCGAUGGCGAAGGCAGGUCUCUGGGCAUUAACUGACGCUGAGGAGCGAAAGCAUGGGGAGCGAACAGG
rnacentral:rRNA from 1 species